GGAUGCGAUCAUAGCAGCACUAAAGCAUCGGAUCCCAUCAGAACUCCAAAGUUAAGCGUGCUUGGCGAGAGUAGUACUAGGAUGGGUGACCUCCUGGGAAGUCCUCGUGUUGCAUUCC
rnacentral:rRNA from 1 species